rnacentral:rRNA from 1 species
UACAGAGGAUGCAAGCGUUAUCCGGAAUGAUUGGGCGUAAAGCGUCUGUAGGUGGCUUUUUAAGUCCGCCGUCAAAUCCCAGGGCUCAACUCUGGACAGGCGGUGGAAACUACCAAGCUGAGUACGGUAGGGGAGGAUUGGAAUUCCGUGGUGUAGCGGUGGAAUGCGCGGAUAUCAGGAGGAACACCGAUGGCGAAGGCAGAUCUCUGGGCCGUAACUGACGCUGAGGAGCGAAAGCGUGGGGAGCGAACAGG